rnacentral:rRNA from 1 species
UGAUCCUGGCUCAGGUUGAACGCUGGCGGCAGGCUUAACACAUGCAAGUCGAGCGGAGAGAGGUAGCUUGCUACUGAUCUUAGCGGCGGACGGGUGAGUAAUACUUAGGAAUCUGGCUAUUAGUGGGGGACAACAUUUCGAAAGGGAUGCUAAUACCGCAUACGUCCUACGGGAGAAAGCAGGGGAUCUUCGGACCUUGCGCUAAUAGAUGAGCCUAAGUCGGAUUAGCUAGUUGGUGGGGUAAAGGCCUACCAAGGCGACGAUCUGUAGCGGGUCUGAGAGGAUGAUCCGCCACACUGGGACUGAGACACGGCCCAGACUCCUACGGGAGGCAGCAGUGGGGAAUAUUGGGACAAUGGG